rnacentral:lncRNA from 1 species
AUAUUUGCACACAACAUGAGAUAUAUGAGAAUUGAAAAACCACCCAUAAAUAAACGCAAGCAAGUACCCUUCCAAAAAUCACAAGAAAAAUCUUUAGAUGAAAAAAUAAAACAGAAGAAAUAAAAAGACACGAGAUCAGCCCAAAGCCUGAGUUGAAAAAAAAAAAAAAAACCUAGAAGAAAUAAAAAGACACAAAGUUCAGCCCCAAAGCCUGAGUUGGUUGCAUCUCAGAAGGGGAGAUGACUAUGAUGCAAAAUCCUUUGGCAAAACAUCCUUCAUCAAUUUGAGAAGAACAUCAUCUUUAGUUUUUCCUUGCAUCUGAUCAAUGAGCAUGGAAAGAGUAGAAACAUUUGCUGAGAGUCCCUUUUCGCGCAUUACUUUCAAGUAUGGUAUUGCCUUGCUAAGCUCUUUCUUCUUUAGGAAACUUCGCGUCAUGAUGUUGUAUGUCACUUCGUCGGGUGCACAACCAUGACUCUGCAUCUUUGUAAGCAAACAUUGUGCCUCCUCUGUAGAACCUUCAUGACAAAGUGCACCAAUGAUCAUAUUAUAUAUACGAGCAUUAGGUUGCACACCUCUAGAAGGUAGUUGGUUGAAAAGAUCUCUGGCAACAUCAAGUUUCCCAUUUUUGCAUAAUCCAUUAAUGACAGCCCCAUAUGUAACUCUAUCGAGAUCAACUCCUUUCCCUUCAAUCGUAUGCAGAAAAGAAAGAGCUUCAUCAGUUUCCCCAUUCCUGCACAGCCCAUCCAACAAUGUACUAUAAGUAUAUAUGUUAGGAGUUACUCGUCGAGCUUCCAUAUCCUUGAAAAGCUUCCAGCCCUCGGAAAAUCUACGCUUACUAAACAGCCCAUGAAUCAUGGUAUUAUAAGUACAUGUAUCAUGCUCCAGACCUUUCAAAGGAACUUCGAGAAAAUGAAGCCAAGCUUCGUCUAUUCUCCCCUUUCUGCAAUAUCCAUUUAAUAUGCAAUUGUAGGUAACAAUAUUAGGCUUAAGUCCCUUGUCAACCAUGGAAUCAAGUACUUGUCGUGCUUUGUCAAUUUCUCCUCUCAAACAAUACCCCUCCAUUAUCGCAUUAUAAGUGACAACAUUAGGGCAUACGUUACGUUGCUUCAUAAUUUCCAGUAAAUCCACGGCCUCUUUCAUCUUUCGUUCCUUGCAGUAUGCAUCAAUCAAUAUACUAAAAGUUACGACAUCGAGAGAAAUAUUAGAAUUAGACAUAUCAUUCACUAGAACCUUAACAUCCUCCAGUCUCCCUAGGUCGCACAACCCCUGAAUCAUCGAGCUGUACGUGACAACAUUGGGUGUAAUACCCUUUUCGAUCAUCGCGGAUAGGAGCUGGAGAGCAUUAUCCACCAUUCCAGAUUUGCGUAGCCCGUCGAGUAAUGCACUAUAAGCCUUGACAUUAGGUCUCAACCUACUUCUUUCUAAUCUACGAACUAAAUCUCUCGCUGGAAGGACAUUUCCUGAUUUACAAAGCCCAUCUACCAUCGUCACAAUCAUAACAUCAUUAGGCUCACAUAUUCUGAAAUGCAAAAGCAUAUUGAACAAUUUCCCAGCCUCGGCCACCUUAUGAUUUAAAAAGAACCCUUUAAUCAGAGUGGUGAAAGUCGCGACAUUUGGUUCGUACCCUCUCUUGAAAAAUAUACCCAUUACAGCAAAGCCAGAUUUUAUAUCUUUCAAGAGACAACAACAAUUCACAGCAAUAUUCAUCGUGUAAACAUUAACAGGGACACCCAUCCUAAGCAUUUCAUCAAACAUAUAAAGGGCAAAAGAAUACUGCUCAAUCUUUACAGUGACACUCAAAAGAUUGUUGUACAUUAGAACAGAAGGCUCCGGCUGCAUACUCUUCAUUUUUUGAAACACUCCAAUAGCAUCAUUUAAUUCUUUAACACAGCUGAAAUCGAUUCUGGGCUGCUUAGGUUGAAAAGCCUUGGAAGAGAAGAGAGAGAAUGGAGGAGAGAUAAUACCCGAUUUAUGCGACCAUUGAUUGAGAAAUCCUGUUCCAUGAAUGAGAUCGAUUGCAAAAACAGCAGCUCUUCUGCUCGUCAUCCUUAAUCGGCGGUGAGAUUAAUGUGAAGAAAGGGAGAGUGUUGGGCGACGCUUGCGAGUUGCGAGAUUAGUUGUGAUUCAAUCUGAAAAAAGGGUUGAAAUUGCAACGGAUGGAUUUUGUAAGGGUUGAAAUUCUUUGGUAGUGUAUUUAUAAUAAUUUAGUUUUCUUAUUUUAAUUAUAUAAAAAAGUAUUUAACUUUGAAAUAAAGUAGCCACUUACCAAAAUAUGUUGGAUCACUACACAAUUCCAUCGUAUUUUCUAAUGAACUUUUAAUUAUACAAUGAAGUUUCCUUCUUUUCAUUUGUCUUUAAAAAAAAUACCUAAAAUAACCUUAUUUCUUUCGUAAAUAACCCUAUUUUGUAUGUAAAUAAAAAAAUACAUAGUUAAAUUUGAUAGUUUCAAUUAUGCAAUGUCGUGUAUGAGUGAAAUUUGUUGGUAAUAUUAAGUUAAACAAUUCGUUUCAUCGCUCUUAUUCAAAUUUAUAUUAUAAUUUUGUUGUAGAUCAGUUUGUAAUAUUUAAUAUUGUAGUUAGAAGGCAUAUUAUUAUUUGUUAAUUUUAUAUUGCAUGUGUUUUUUAUGAUAACUUGGUACAUAAACAUCCUUUGUGGAUUAGUACAUGAUACUAAUUAUAAAUAAUCUGCUGCAAUAAUAAUGGAUUAAAUAAAAAAAGUAGAAGCAUAUGCUAAGAGUCUCUUUUCGCGCAUUUCUUCUAAGAAAACCACUAUAGUAAUCUCUCUCUUAGGUUAACUAGUAUUUUCUCAUGUGCUAUGCACGAAAUGAAAAUAUAGCAAUUUUAUACAAUGUAAAUAAAAUAACACAUUUUCUUGAGAAAAAAAAGCAAUAAUAAUAGUGUUAAUAGGCAAAAAUGCCCACUUCCUUAAUUUUUUUUUGUAAAAAUACCCUAAGUUAUCAUACAAAGCAUUAUAUGCCCUAAUUAUGUGAAGUACCUAUUUUACCCUUUGAUGUUGAUGGGUGUGCUUGGUUUUUUGUGAAAGUCUUACACAUUUGACCGAUUUGAUAGUUAUCAGUUAUAAAGUCAACGAUUUGACAGUUAUCAGUCAAAAGUAUAUAUGACCGGUGGUGGCUAGCCAGAUCAUGUGUCUGUCCGGUGAAAUUAUGUGUCCGCCCGGCCGGACNAGCCAGAUCAUGUGUCUGUCCGGUGAAAUUAUGUGUCCGCCCGGCCGGACACAUGAUUUUACUGGGCGGACACAUGAUCUGCCACCCAAAUCACGUGUCCGCCCGAUGAAAUUAUGUGUCCGCCCGGGCGGACACAUGAUCUAGUCACCUAUCGUUCAUAUGUAUUCUUGACAGAUAGCUGUCAAAUCGUUGACUUUUAUGAUUGAUAGCUGUCAAAUCGGUCAAAUGUGUAAGACUUUUACAGAAAACCAAACAAAUCCAUCAAAUCAAAGGGUAUUUAAAGAAUAGGGCAUAGAAUGCUUUGUAUAAUAAGAGAUGACAUUUUUACAAAAAAAAAAAAAGAUAAGGAAGUGAGCAUUUUAAAUUUUUACUCAUAAUAAUACCUGGAAUCUAUAUCAAUAAUAUAUAAAAGAUGAGUUUUUUUUUCCUUUCUUUUUCUCUCUCUUCUUCCACCAAAAUUUUCACUAUUUUUUUAACCUUUUUAUAUUGUAAUUAUUAUUUAAACGUCAUCAAAUUUGAUCAUGAAAAAAUAAUCAAUAUGUAUCCCAAAUUCAAUAUAGUAUAAAAAUCAUCAAAAAUGAAUAAGUUAUGAAAAUAUUAGUAGAAUAUUUUAUUUUCUGUCUCUUCAUUAAAAAAUUUAUAACUUUUUAUUUACGUUUGUAUAGAAAUAUUUAUUAUGAUGAAUAGUAUAUGCAUAGUGCAAAAUUUUAUUAUCGAAUACUUUUUAAAUUUAUUUAAUAACUUUAAUUAUUAUUACACUUUGUAUAAAUUGAAUAUUUAUAUUUUUAAAUUCAGGAUUUUAUUGAGUAAUUGAUGUGAAUUAUUAUAUGUUACUCCUAUUAAAAUAUACUUCCUCCGUCCCUGAAAUAAGUUUCUCUUUUUCCUUUUUGGGACGUCCUCCAAAUAAGUUCCUUUUUUUUCUUUCCAUUUUUGGACAAUUACCCCACCACGAAUAAUACUUUAUUUAUUCUUACUUUUCACUUUUUCACCACUCCCAAUAGUAAUUAUAACACUUUUUCACAUUUUCACCACUCUCAAUACUAAUUAUAAAAUAUUUUUCUCCACUAUCAAUACACUUUACCACUUUUCCUUAAAACCCGUGCCGUCCCCAAAGAGAAACUUAUUUUUAUUUUGGGGACGGAGGUAGUAUUUUUUUAUUGUUGAGAGAAUUGUGUUUAGGAGAUGAAGGAGGGUGUAGAUACCAGUUUGUUGCUAUUAGUUGUGUUGCUAAAUCUUCACAAGGAGUAGCUCUACUUAUAACUUUGCCUUUGUUAUUCUCUUUUUGAGUAUGUUUUUGGUGUAGCUUUUUCAAGACUGUAAACUGCAGGAUGUUUUGUGAGGCUCAAAUUGUGGUUUAAAUGAGUAAUAUGUUUGGUAAAUUUUCUUUUCAUCUUCUUCUUUGCCAUUUUUUUUCAUUAAAUAUGGAAGUAUAUAUUAGUUGUGUUGCUAAUCUAGGAAAGAGACACUAGAAGGCUGUCUGCUUCUUGCUCAAAGGGGACUGAUACUUAAGAAAAUUAAAAGUAGAAGAAAAUAAAUGAAUAUCCAUUUCUGCAACAUACGCAUAUGAAUUGAAUUAUUAGAAUAUAUGAGAAUAUAUUUGCACACAACAUGAGAUAUAUUACAAAAAAAUCGACUAAUUGAAAAACCACCCAUAAAUAAACGCAAGCAAGUACCCUUCCAAAUAUCACAAGAAAAAUCUUUAGAUGAAAAAAAAAAAGACAAAAAGUUCAGCCCCAAAGCCUGAGUUGGUUGCAUCUCUAAAGACGAGAUGACUAUGAUACAAAAUCCUUUGGCAAAACAUCCUUCAUCAAUUUGAGAAGAACAUCAUCUUUAGUUUUUCCUUGCAUUUGAUCAAUGAGCAUGGAAAGAGUAGAAACAUCUGCUGAGAGUUCCUUUUCGUGCAUUACUUCCAAGUAUGGUAUUGCCUUGCUAAGCUCUUUCUUCUUUAGGAAACUUCGCGUCAUGAUGUUGUAUGUCACUUCGUCAGGUGCACAACCAUGACUCUGCAUCUCUGUAAGCAAACAUUGUGCCUCCUCCGUAGAACCUUCAUGACAAAGUGCACCAAUGAUCAUAUUAUAUAUACGAGCAUUAGGUAGCACACCUCUAGAAGGUAGUUGGUUGAAAAGAUCUCUAGCAACAUCAAGUUUCCCAUUUUUGCAUAAUCCAUUAAUGACAGCCCCAUAUGUUACUCUAUCAGGAGUAACUCCUUUCCCUUCAAUCGUGUGCAGAAAGAAAGAGCUUCAUCAGUCUCCCCAUUCCCGAACAGCCCAUCCAACAAUGUAUUAUAAGUAUAUAUGUUAGGAGUUACUCGUCGAGCUUCCAUAUCCUUGAAAAGCUUCCAACCCUCGGAAAAUCUAUCUUUACUAAACAAUCCAUGUAUCAUGGUUGUGUAAGUACAUGCAUCAUGCUCCAGACCUUUACAAGGAAAUUCCAGAAAAUGAAGCCAAGCUUCGUCUAUUCUCCCCUUUCUGCAAUAUCCAUUUAAUAAGCAGUUGUAGCUAACAAUAUUAGGCUUAAGUCGCUUGUCAACCAUGGAAUCAAGUACUUGUCGUGCUUUGUCAAUUUCUCCUCUCAAACAAUACCCCUCCAUUAGCGCAGUAUAAGUGACAACAUUAGGGCAUACGUUACGUUGCCUCAUAAUUUCCAACAAAUCUUCAGCCUCUUUCAUCUUUCUCUCCUUGCAGUAUGCAUCAAUCAAUAUACUAAAAGUUACGACAUUGAGAGAAAUAUUAGAAUUGGACAUAUCAUUCACUAGAACCUUAACAUCCUCCCGUCUCCCUAGGUCGCACAACCCCUGAAUCAUCGAGCUGUACGUGACAACAUUGGGUGUAAUACCCUUUUCGAUCAUCGCGGAUAGGAGCUGGAGAUAGGGGUGAGCAAAAAAUCCGAAACCGAAUAACCGAACCGAUCCAAACCGAAAUUUUAAAAUAUGGUUCGGUUUUUUCGGUUUUUCGGUUCGGUUCGGUUUUUAUUUUCAUAAAAUUUCGGUUUUUCGGUUCGGUUCGGAUUUUUUAAAACCGAACAAAACCGAAAAACCGAAUUAUAUUUAUAAUAUAUAUAUAUAUAUAUAUAUAUAUAUAUAUUAUUAUUUUAAUUAUAGUUUUAUAAUAUCUAACUUCUAAUAUUUUUUUAAUUUUAUAGUUUUUCUUUUGGAAUUUUCGGUUUUUUUUCGAAUAUUUCGGUUUUUUCGGUUUUUUUUUCAAAAAUUUCGGUUUUCUUCGGAUUAAUUCGGUUUUUCGGUUCGGUUUUAAUUAUAAAAAUUUCGGUUAAUUCGGUUCGGUUUGUUCGGUUAAUUCGGUUCGGUUCGGUUUUUUUUUUAAACCGAACUAAAAUAUGGUUUGGUUUGGUUUUAACAAAAACCGAACCAUAUAACCGAAUGCUCACCCCUAGCUGGAGAGCAUCAUCCACCAUUCCAGAUUUGCGUAGCCCGUCGAGUAAUGCAUUAUAAGCCUUGACAUUAGGUCUCAACCUACUUCUUUCUAAUCUACGAACUAAAUCUCUCGCUGGAAGGACAUUUCCUGAUUUACAAAGCCCAUCUACCAUCGUCAGAAUCAUAACAUCAUUAGGCUCACAUAUUCCGAAACGUAAAAUCUUAUUGAACAAUUUUCCAGCCUCCACCACCUUAUGAUCUAAAAACAGCCCUUUAAUCAAAGUGGUGAAUGUCGCGACAUUUGGUUCGUAGCCUCUCUUGAAAAAUAGACCCAUUACAGCAAAGCCAGAUUUUAUAUCUUUCAAGAGACAACAACAAUUCACAGCAAUAGUCAUCGUGUAAACAUUAACAGGGACACCCAUCCUAAGCAUUUCAUCAAACAUAUAAAGGGCAAAAGAAUACUGCUCAAUCUUUACCGUGACACUCAAAAGAUUGUUGUACAUUAGAACAGAAGGCUCCGGCUGCAUACUCUUCAUUUUUUGAAACAAUCCAAUAGCAUCAUUUAAUUCUUUAACACAGCUGAAAUCGAUUCUGGGCUGCUUAGGUUGAAAAGCCUUGUAAGAGAAGUGAGAGAAUGGAGGAGAGAGAAUACCCGAUUUCUGCGACCAUCGAUUGAGAAAUCGUCUUCCAUGAAUGACAUCGAUUGCAAAAACAGCUGCCCUUCUGCUCAUCAUCCUUAAUCGGCGGUGAGAUUUAAUGUGAUGAAAGGGAGAGUGUUGGGCGACGCUUGCGAGAUUAGGAGUUGUGAUUGAAUCUGAAAAAAGGGUUGAAAUUGCAUCGAAUGGAGUUUGCGAUUUUGGACUUUUUUAUAAGGGUGAGUUCUUUGGUGGGCUCAGAAUUUUGGGCUUGAAUAAUAAUGUUUGGGCUCAAAUUAUUUGGGCUACUAGAAAAUAAAAAUACUAAGAGUAAUUCUUACAUUUUUUAAAAUGUAAUGCAUCUAUAAUUAUUUUAAUUUUCUUAUUUUAAUUAUAUAAAAAAGAACGUAACUUUGAAAUAAAGUAGCAACUUACCAAAAUACGUUGGAUCACUACACAAUUCCAUCGUAUUUACUUGGGAACUUUUAAUUACAAUGCAGUUUCCUUCUUUUCAUUUGUCUUUAAAAGAAAACUAGUAUACGCCCAUUCGUGCGAUGCACGACGAACAUCGAAAUUAAACGAUAAAUUUAAAUAAAUAAAUGUAAAUAAUAAUAAAAAUAAAAUAUAAACAAAUACAAUAUAUGUUUUAAAAAUAUAAUAUAAUAAUUAAGAUCAAUUACUCAAUAAAAUCUUGAAUAUAAAAGGGUUAAUUGCAUCAAAAUACAUGACCUUUUCCCAAAAUUUAGUUUUUUGACAAACUUUUUAAUUUUAGCUACGUUUCAAUUUAUUGCAAUGUCCGUCCUGCGUAUAUUUCUGGCCAAAUCCAUUCAUUUCCNNNNNNNNNNNNNNNNNNNNNNNNNNNNNNNNNNNNNNNNNNNNNNNNNNNNNNNNNNNNNNNNNNNNNNNNNNNNNNNNNNNNNNNNNNNNNNNNNNNNNNNNNNNNNNNNNNNNNNNNNNNNNNNNNNNNNNNNNNNNNNNNNNNNNNNNNNNNNNNNNNNNNNNNNNNNNNNNNNNNNNNNNNNNNNNNNNNNNNNNNNNNNNNNNNNNNNNNNNNNNNNNNNNNNNNNNNNNNNNNNNNNNNNNNNNNNNNNNNNNNNNNNNNNNNNNNNNNNNNNNNNNNNNNNNNNNNNNNNNNNNNNNNNNNNNNNNNNNNNNNNNNNNNNNNNNNNNNNNNNNNNNNNNNNNNNNNNNNNNNNNNNNNNNNNNNNNNNNNNNNNNNNNNNNNNNNNNNNNNNNNNNNNNNNNNNNNNNNNNNNNNNNNNNNNNNNNNNNNNNNNNNNNNNNNNNNNNNNNNNNNNNNNNNNNNNNNNNNNNNNNNNNNNNNNNNNNNNNNNNNNNNNNNNNNNNNNNNNNNNNNNNNNNNNNNNNNNNNNNNNNNNNNNNNNNNNNNNNNNNNNNNNNNNNNNNNNNNNNNNNNNNNNNNNNNNNNNNNNNNNNNNNNNNNNNNNNNNNNNNNNNNNNNNNNNNNNNNNNNNNNNNNNNNNNNNNNNNNNNNNNNNNNNNNNNNNNNNNNNNNNNNNNNNNNNNNNNNNNNNNNNNNNNNNNNNNNNNNNNNNNNNNNNNNNNNNNNNCUUCCAAAAAUCACAAGAAAAAUCUUUAGAUGAAGAAAUAAAACAGAAGAAAUAAAAAGACACAGAUAUCAGCCCAAAGCCUGAGUUGAAAGAAAAAAAAAACUAGAAGAAAUAAAAAGACAAAAAGCUCAGCUCCAAAGCCAGAGUUGGUUGCAUCUCAGAAGACGAGAUGACUAUGAUACAAUAUCCUUUGGCCAAACAUCCUUCAUCAAUUUGAGAAGAAAAUCAUCUUCGGUUUGCAUUUGAUCAACUACCAUGGAAAAAGUAGAAACAUCUGCUGAUAUCCCUUUUCGCGCAUUACCUCCAGUAUGGUAUUGCCUUGCUAAGCUCUUUCUUCUUUGGAAACUCCGCGUCAUGAUGUUGUAUGUCACGCGGGAAGCUGCACAACCACAACUCUGCAUCUCUGUAAGCAAACAUUGUGCCUCCUCCGUAGAACCUUCAUGACAAAGUGCACCAAUGAUCAUAUUAUAUAUUCGAGCAUUAGGUUGAACACCUCUAGAAGGAAGUCGGUUGAAAAGAUCUCUGGCAACAUCAAGUUUCCCAUUUUUGCAUAACCCAUUAAUGACAGCCCCAUACGUGACUCUAUCAGGAUUAACUCCUUUCCCUUCAAUCAUGUGCAGAAAAGAAAGAGCUUCAUCAGUCUCCCCAUUCUUGCACAACCCAUCCAACAAUGUAUUAUAAGUAUACAUGUUGGGACAUACUCGUCGAGCUCCCAUAUCCUUGAAAAGUUUCCAGCCCUCGGAAAAUCUACGCUUACUAAACAAUCCAUUAAUCAUGGUAUUAUAAGUACGUGUAUUAUACUCCAAACCUUUCAAAGGAACUUUGAGAAAAAGAAGCCAAGCUUCGUCUAUUCUCCCCUUUUUGCAAUAUCCAUUUAAUAAGCAGUUGUAGCUAACAAUAUCAGGCUUAAGUCCCUUGUCAACCAUGGAAUCAAGUACUUGUCGUGCUUUGUCAAUUUCCCCUCUCAAACAAUACCCAUCAAUCAGCGUAUUAUAAGUGACAACAUUAGGGCAUACGUUACGUUGCUUCAUAAUUUCCAACAAAUCCUCAGCCUCUUUCAUCUUUCUCUCCUUGCAGUAUGCAUCAAUCAAUAUACUAAAAGUUACGACAUUGAGAGAAAUAUUAGAAUUGGACAUAUCAUUCACCAAAACCUUAACUUCCUCCAGUCUCCCUAGGUCGCACAACCCCUGAAUCAUCGAGUUAUACGUGACAACAUUGGGUGAUAUACCCUUUUCGAUCAUCCUGGAUAGGAGCUGGAAAGCAUCAUCCACCAUUCCAGAUUUGCAUAGCCCGUCGAGUAAUGCAUUAUAAGCCUUGACAUUAGGUCUCAACCUACUUCUUUCUAAUCUACGAACUAAAUCUCUCGCUGGAAGGACAUUUCCUGAUUUACAAAGCCCAUCUACCAUCGCCAAAAUCAUAACAUCAUUAGGCUCACAUAUUCUGAAACGCAAAAUCUUAUUGAACAAUUUCCCAGCCUCGACCACCCUAUGAUCUAAAAACAGCCCUUUAAUCAGAGUGUUGAAUGUCGUGACAUUUGGUUCGUAACCUCUCUUGAAAAAUAUACCCAUUAUAGCAAAGCCAGAUUUUAUAUCUUUCAAGAGACAACAACAGUUCACAGCAAUAGUCAUUGUGUAAACAUUAACAGGGACACCCAUCCUAAGCAUUUCAUCAAACAUAUAAAGGGCAAAAGAAUACUGCUCAAUCUUUACAGUGACACUCAAAAGAUUGUUGUACAUUAGAACAGAAGGCUCCGGCUGCAUACUCUUCAUUUUUUGAAACAAUCCAAUAGCAUCAUUUAAUUCUUUAACACAGCUGAAAUCGAUUCUGGGCUGCUUAGGUUGAAAAGCCUUGGAAGAGAAGAGAGAGAAUGGAGGAGAGAUAAUACCCGAUUUAUGCGACCAUCGAUUGAGAAAUCCUGUUCCAUGAAUGAGAUCGAUUGCAAAAACAGCAGCUCUUCUGCUCGUCAUCCUUAAUCGGCGGUGAGAUUAAUGUGAAGAAAGGGGAGAGUGUUGGGCGACGCUUGCGAGUUGCGAGAUUAGUUGUGAUUCAAUCUGAAAAAAGGGUUGAAAUUGCAACGGAUGGAUUUUGUAAGGGUUGAAAUUCUUUGGUAGUGCAUCUAUAAUUAUUUUAGUUUUCUUAUUUUAAUUAUAUAAAAAAGUAUUUAACUUGGAAAUAAAGUAGCCACUUACCAAAAUAUGUUGGAUCACUACACAAUUCCAUCGUAUUUUCUAAUGUAUACUUUUUUUUGACUUGUAUUUUCUAAUGUAUACUUGAGAACUUUUAAUUAUACAAUGCAGUUUCCUUCCUUUCAUUUGUCUUUUAAAAAAAUACCUAAAAUAACCUUAUUUCUUUCGUAAAUAACCCUAUUUUGUAUGUAAAUAAAAAAAUAUAUAGUUAAAUUUGAUAGUUUCAAUUAUGCAAUGGCGUCUAUGAGUGAAAUUUGUUUGUAAUAUUAAGUUAAACAAUUCUUUUCAUCGCUCUUAUUCAAAUUUGUAUUAUAAUUUUGUUGUAGAUCAGUUUGUAAUAUUUAAUAUUGUAGUUAUAAGGCAUAUUAUUAUUUGUUAAUUUUAUAUUGCAUGUGUUUUUUUAUGAUAACUUGGUACAUAAACAUCCUUUGUGGAUUAGUACAUGAUACUAAUUAUAAAUAAUCUGCUGCAAUAAUAAUGGAUUAAAUAAAAAAAGUAGAAGCAUAUGCUAAGAGUCUCUUUUCGCGCAUUUCUUCUAAGAAAACCACUAUAGUAAUCUCUCUCUUAGGUUAACUAGUAUUUUCUCAUGUGCUAUGCACGAAAUAGAAAAUAUAGCAAUAUUAUACAAUAGUAAAUAAAAUAAUACUAUUUUCUUAGAGAAAAAAAGACAAUAAUAAUACCUGAAUCUAUAUCUAUAAUAUAUAAAAAUGUAGUUUUUUUUUCCUUUCUUUUUCUAUUUCUUCUUCCACCUAAAAUUUUCACUUAUUUUUUUUAACCUUUUUAUAUUGUAAUUAUUUAUUUAAAUGUCAUACAAAUUUGAUCAUGAAAAAAAUAAUACAAUUAUGUAUCUCAAAAUUCAAUAUAGUAUAAAAAUCAUAAAAAAUCAAUAAGUUAUGGAAAUAUUAGAAUAUUUUAUUUUCUUUCUCUUACAUUAAAAAAUUUAUAACUUUUUAUUUACGUUUGUAUAAAAAUAUUUAUUAUGAUGAAUAGUAUAUACACAGUGCAAAUUUUUAUUAUCGAAUACUUUUUAAAUUAUUUAAUAACUUUAAUUAACAUUACACUUUGUAUAAAUUGAAUAUGAGAAAAAUUUUGAAGUAGCCAAAAAUGAAGCAUAAAACACAAUUUAUGGCCACACAUUGAAAAAACACAAAAUUUGGCCAUUUUUUUUAUUUGGACGUUUUUACCCUUAAUGAAGCGGACCGGGUAGGAUCAGGCACGCGGGUCGCAUGCCGGGUCGGGUUAGGCACUUAUGGCACUAUUAGUGCCUAGUGCCAUAAGUGCCAAGAUUUUACUUUGGUUUUAUUUUGGAUUCCGUUGGCACUUAUGGCACUAAUAGUGUCAUAAGUGACCAAAAUAAAACCAAAGUAAAAUAGUCAUUAUAUGUGCAGCACAAAUAUAAAAACAAUCAUCAUUUAAACCCUAAAUAGGAACAUACUAAACCCCAAAUAGGAUAAUCUAAACCCUAAAUGGAAUAUAUAAACCCUAGGGGGAAGUGUGCACUUAUGGCACUUAUGGCACUAAUAGUGCCAUAAGUGCCAUACAUACAUCACAAAUACAGAUCAGAUCAGAUCUGUUGAUGGCUGAAAUCGAAGGAGGCGGAGAUCAGAUCUGCCGAUGGAGGAGGCGGCGCAACGAUCAGAUCAGAUCCACCUCCAUACCCUAGAUCCCCAAAUCCAGCCCCCCAUUUUCCUUCAAUUUCAUAACAAUAGCAACCCAACACCGCCAGCGCUGCCUUCUAUCCCACUCGACACACACCCAAACCAGAUGCUAGAGGAAAAAUCAGCGGUGGUCGCGGCGGCAAAGCCCUAGCCCCAAAUCGGCUGUGGCGGCAAAGAGCAUACCCGCGCGCGCCGACGAGGUUGGCGACAGGGCCUUCAAACAGAGAGAGAGAGAGAGAGAGAGAUUUGCUUCAGUGAGGGUGUUGUGUUUUUGGAGGGAGAAGAGGUGAGAGACGAGAGAGGGAAUUGAGAGGGUGACGGGCGAGGGGUGGCCGACAGUUGUGGCUGACGGCGGCUCCACCGAGGAAGAAGGGGCGACGUCAGUCUUGGUGUGUGUUGUGUAGAGAGAGAGAGAGAGAGAGAGGAGAGGAGGAAGAAGAAGGAAAAGCUGGAUCCGACGGGUCAAAGAAAAUUGAGUUGGAUCUGCUAAGUUAAAAGGGUAAAUUAGGUAUGACACAUAAAAGAUGGCCAAAUAUUGUGAUUUUUCAUUUUGUGGCCAAAAUUUGAGUUUCCAUCUUCAAUAGGGCCAUCCGGCCCUAUUGUUUCUUGAAUAUAUAUAUUUUUAAAUUCAGGAUUUUAUUGACACUACAAGAAAACGCGGCUCUAACGACCGAAUUUUCGGUUGUUAAACUCGAAAAUUCGGUCGUUAAAGUCUUAACGACCGAAACAACGACCGAAAACUACAAUAAUGUACAAUUUUUAGAUUUAAUUAUAUCAACUCUGUUGUACAUUAUGAGUUUCAACUCUGUGGACCAAUUCGGCUUUAUUUUGGACGAAAAUCUCAAUCUUGAUGAAAUUACAUGAAUUGUUAAGUUUGUGUAUUUUUGUCACAAUUUUAAAGUUGGUGUGCAAAGUCAAAAAUCGAUUAGAAUUGGUGUAUUUUAACGCCAAUAACCCAAUAUUACACUUGGAACAUAUAUGUGAGCAUAUUUUGGUCAAGUACCUCAUGCAAUUACUCAGUCAUUUUCAGAAGUUUCUUUCAAUUUUUCCUUUCAUUCGAUUUGGAGUUCCUUGAUGUCAGAUCUUGUAGUGGGACCCUUACUUCUACUGCAUUGAAUCUCUCUCUCUCUCUUAGUUGGUGCCACCAUAAAUAUGCUGACAUGGUUCUUCAAGUUUUGUUUAUUUAUGACAUCGUCAUAUUUGUGCCACGUCAACUUUUGAAUAUUAUGUUAUGCAUUUAUGAGGUAACAUGCCAUCAACGCUGAAACAAUGAUAUGAACCUACUCUAACUGAUUCUAAAGUUGCAUUUAAAAAAAAAAAAAAACCUUUGAAGGUACUUUGUGUGAUAGGUGUUGGUUAUCCUUGACAUCAUCUAAUGAUACGCAGCGGAAUAUACAUUCAAGGAUUAGAUCUAGAUUUACAAAUGCAUCAUGUGUAGAGAUAAACACACAACGAAAGGAAUAACUUACUCGUUGUGUGGUAAGCGUGCGUCUCGAUUCUUGCCGUGAAUCCACUACUAAGGUAUCCACGUGUAUGUCGAUUCGAUGCAGGAACAAUUCCAAGUGCACGAUUCAAUCUUCGACAGCUAGGAAAUCUCCGAUUUAAACUAUAGUGCUCUCUUAGUGUUUAGCAAGCAAAAGCCUGUCAUUUUGUAAGACCAAAACUCAUACUUAUAAGCCAAAAGUAUUGGCUUACCUUGUAAGCCAAAGAGUUGGCUUCUCUUAUAAGCCAAAGAGUUGUCUUACUAAGGAAGCCAAUCCUAUUCCAAUUAAUAGGUCCAAUAGUCCAACUAGUUCCCAAUUAAUUAAGUGUUAUUAGAAUAUAUCAAAUAUAUCACUACAAGAAUUUAGCACACUGACAACAUAUAUUUAGUGUUGUCUAUGUGAGAAAUAUCUGUUGUUGAGGCCGGUGUUGUCUAUUCUGGGGUGCUCAUAGACAACAAACGAAGGUAAUAGACAACGUAAUUACUAUGUUGUCUAUUUAAACAUAAACAACAGACCUGAUGGUUAUAGACAAAUAUAUCCUAAUCUAGUCCAUAAUAUCUUUCAAUCUCCCACUUGGACUAGCAUUAGAUUAAACACCAAGCACUAUCCUUGCACCCUUGAGCGAAUCAACAAUACACAUAAAGUGUGACCCUUUAGGCCUCCAUUAUCGACGAUAAUCAAAUUAAAGUCUACACAAAACUCCUAGACUGCGUUGUGUAGCGAACUCGAUAUAUGAAGAACGUUUACGUGGAUUCUGUAAACAAACCUUUAUAUGAAGUUUAUGCAAUAUCCCUUCAUUCACGAACCACUUGAUUGAGCCUAGGAUCUGCCAUGUGUCUAUCCCAUUUGCUCAAUCAUUUUAUCUCAUCUUUAUUAAAUGACCCUUCCGAUCAUAUUCAAUUAUUCUAAUUGAAUAUAUCUUUACAUUUGCUGAUAGUAUUCUUGGAAAUGUUUAUGACUUGAAUUGAAGUUUAAAUCUUGACAAAUUGUGCAAAUCAUGAUACUUCAAGUGAAUUUCCCUUACAAUGUGUCUAAAUUUUUUACAGGGAAGCUGAGACUGCGAAGAAGCCUUUUAGCGCACCUCGUGAGGUUCACGUUCAAGUCACGCACUCGAUGCCCCCUCAAAAGAUCGAGAUCUUCAAAUCUAUAGAAGGCUGGGCCGAGGACAAUCUACUGGUUCACCUUAAACCAGUUGAGAAGUGUUGGCAGCCUCAGGAUUUCUUGCCAGAUCCCGCCUCGGAUGGAUUCCAUGACCAGGUCAGGGAAUUGAGAGAGAGAGCUAAGGAGAUUCCCGACGAUUAUUUUGUUGUUCUGGUUGGAGAUAUGAUCACCGAGGAAGCCCUCCCGACGUACCAGACAAUGCUCAACACCUUGGAUGGCGUGAGGGAUGAAUCGGGGGCGAGCUUAACUCCUUGGGCAGUCUGGACGAGGGCGUGCACUGCUGAGGAGAAUAGGCACGGAGAUCUUCUUAAUAAGUAUCUUUAUCUCUGCGGGAGAGUAGACAUGAAGCAAAUCGAGAAGACUAUCCAAUAUCUCAUCGGGUCGGGAAUGGUAACUAACUUCGUUUCUCGUUUGUCUAAAUCUAUGAAUUACUCUUACUUGAUUAUCUACUUGCUUGUGAGUCGGGUCAAUCAUUGUAACUUGAUUAUCUAUGAAUAACGGGGCUAUCCGCGGAUGGGCAGAAGGCUCAAGAAUACGUCUGUGGAUUGCCUCCGAGAAUCAGACGUCUGGAGGAGAGAAUUGAAAAACCACCCAUAAAUAAACGCAAGCAUGUACCCUUCCAAAAAUCACAAGAAAAAUCUUUAGAUGAAAAAAAUAUACAGAAGAAAUAAAAAGACACGAGAUCAGCCCAAAGCCUGAGUUGAGAAAAAAAAAAAAAACUAGAAGAAAUAAAAAGACACAAAGUUCAGCCCCAAAGCCUGAGUUAGUUGCAUCUCAGAAGGCGAGAUGACUAUGAUGGAAAAUCCUUUGGCAAAACAUCCUUCAUCAAUUUGAGAAGAACAUCAUCUUUAGUUUUU